UUCACUUUCAGUGAGUGCAUACCAUGUGUGU
rnacentral:piRNA from 1 species